rnacentral:rRNA from 1 species
CCUGGUUGAUCCUGCCAGUAAUCAUAUGCUUGUCUCAAAGAUUAAGCCAUGCAUGUCUAAGUACAUGCCGAAAUAAGGCGAAACCGCGAAUGGCUCAUUAAAUCAGUUAUGGUUCCUUAGAUCGUUUCUUCCUACUUGGAUAACUGUGGCAAUUCUAGAGCUAAUACAUGCAGUGAGCCUGGAGCCCUUUGGGUAACGGGUGCUUUUAUUCUAGAGGGCAAGAUCGAUCGGGUUUCGGCCCGUAUUGUGUGGUGACUCUGGAUAACUUUGUGCUGAUCGCAUGGCCACGAGCCGGCGACGUUUCUUUCAAGUGUCUGCCUUAUCAACUUUCGAUGGUAGGUUACUUGCUUACCAUGGUUGUUACGGGUAACGGAGAAUCAGGGUUCGAUUCCGGAGAGGGAGCCUGAGAAACGGCUACCACAUCCAAGGAAGGCAGCAGGCGCGCAAAUUACCCACUCCCGGCACGGGGAGGUAGUGACGAAAAAUAACAAUACGGGACUCUUUUGAGGCCCCGGCCCCGUAAUUGAAAUGAGUACACUCUAAAUCCUUUAACGAGGAUCAAUUGGAGGGCAAGUCUGGUGCCAGCAGCCGCGGUAAUUCCAGCUCCAAUAGCGUAUACUAAAGCUGCUGCGGUUAAAAAGCUCGUAGUUGGAUCUCAGUUCCAGACGAGUAGUGCAUCUACCCGAUGCGACGGCUCGGACUGAACAUCAUGCCGGUUCUUUCUUGGUGCACUUCAUUGUGUGCCUCGAGAUGGCCGGUGCUUUUACUUUGAAAAAAUUAGAGUGCUCAACGCAGGCGAGUCGCCUGAAUAAACUUGCAUGGAAUAAUAGAACAAGACCUCGUUUCUGUUCUGUUGGUUUUUGGAAUACGAGGUAAUGAUUAAGAGGGAGCGAGGGGGACGGGGGCAUUCGUAUUGCGGCGCUAGAGGUGAAAUUCUUGGACCGUCGCAAGACGAACUACUGCGAAAGCAUUUGCCAAGAAUGUUUUCAUUGAUCAAGAACGAAAGUCAGAGGUUCGAAGGCGAUCAGAUACCGCCCUAGUUCUGACCAUAAACGAUGCCAACCAGCGAUCCGCCUGAGUUACUCAAAUGACUCGGCGGGCAGCUUCCGGGAAACCAAAGUAUUUGGGUUCCGGGGGAAGUAUGGUUGCAAAGCUGAAACUUAAAGGAAUUGACGGAAGGGCA